rnacentral:lncRNA from 1 species
CUUGGGCGUGUUUUAGUGGCUGUCAGGUACGUAGAUACGAUACAUAACAUUAUUGCCCGAAAAAUAUACUUCCCCAGUCAUUUUUAGUUCUACCGUUGCAAAUGAAUCUGGUAAUUUUAUACUCCCUCUGUCCCAAUUUAUAUGACUUACUUUCCUUUUUAGUCAGUCCCAAAAAGAAUGACACAUUUCUAUUUUAAGUAACAAUUUGCCUAUAAAAUGUCUUUUUUACCCUUAAUGAAAUGAUUUACAACCACACAAAUUUCUAUCAUUCAUUUUGGACCACAAGUUUUAAAAGUCUUUCCAUUUUUCUUAAAGUUUGUGCCAAAUCAAAGUACAUCAUAUAAAAUGGGACGGAGGGAGUAUUACAUUUAUUGAAACUCUCCUAUAGAUUCGUACUUUAUAAAAAUACUUUUGUUCUUGUUUACAAUUAUGACUUUGCUUGGUAUGAACUUUGGCCAUAUUGGAGCUGGUCUAAAACGCUCAUCAAUACAUACGAUUUUAUACGAGAUUCAAAUUCGAGAUUUCUAUAUUUAUCACUUUAUUACAACCUUUUUAAGUCAAAUAAACUAGAAUUUUGUUACCUUGAUAUUUUUUUCAAUACUUCUUUCCGUUAUUGAAUUUUGAAUAAAUUUGGUAGCAUUCUCAUCUACUUUUGGGGGUUUUGAGCUUGUGCUUGUUGGGCCCACGCCAAGCUGAUAAAAAGCCAAAGACUUGAUAAGGAUUAUAAGUGGGACGUGGAAGCCAUCUUAUUUGUAAUUUCCUAAUUAAAUAAGUAAGAAUUUUGCAUAAUGGCUUCGGUACACGUGAAAGGGAGGGGCAAAUUAGGAAACUACUUGAUUAAUUUUAUUUUUGCCAGCUUAAAAAUAAGCUGGCACGGCCAAGAUAUUUUAUGUGUUCCAUGCUAUGUGACGAUAAUCAAAGACGGACAUGAUAUAAUUAGGAUAUUUGUUUUAGCUUUUUUAGGAUUUGCAUAAUUGACGUGAAGUGAUAAGACUACCAAUUAUUUCUCAUUUGGUGUUCCGUAUUUAUUUUAGGAUCUGAUUAAUUUAAAUUCGUACUAGGAGAUUAAGUGCUUCUAACAAAGAUGACUUUAUAUUAUUGAGGGCUCGAGCUUGAAUCCUUCAAUUAAAAAUGAAGGACUUACCAUUGUAAAAAACUUCGAUUAAUUGGUGUAAAUGUGGAUAGUAAUUAUAUUAAAUUGUUGCAGCAUCAUUCUUUUUUAU